rnacentral:rRNA from 1 species
AACGAACGCUGGCGGCGCGCUUAACACAUGCAAGUCGAACGAGAAGGCGUAGCAAUACGCUUGUAAAGUGGCGAACGGGUGAGGAAUACAUGGGUAACCUACCCUCGAGUGGGGGAUAACCGCCGAAGGCGGGCUAAUACCGCGUACGCUUCCGAUCUUGCGGGAUCGGAAGGAAAGCUGUCCCUUGGGGAUGGCGCUCAAGGAUGGGCUCAUGUCCUAUCAGCUUGUUGGUAGGGAACGGCCUACCAAGGCAUCGACGGGUAGCUGGUCUGAGAGGACGAUCAGCCACACUGGCACUGCGACACGGGCCAGACUCCUACGGGAGGCAGCAGUGAGGAAUAUUGCGCAAUGGGCGAAAGCCUGACGCAGCGACGCCGCGUGGGGGAGUGAAGGUCUUCGGA